UACGUAGGGGGCAAGCGUUGUCCGGAAUCAUUGGGCGUAAAGAGCGUGUAGGCGGCCCGAUAAGUCCGUCGUGAAAGUCCAGGGCUCAACCCUGGGAUGCCGGUGGAAACUGUCGGGCUAGAGUCCGGAAGAGGCGAGUGGAAUUCCUGGUGUAGCGGUGAAAUGCGCAGAUAUCAGGAGGAACACCGAUGGCGAAGGCAGCUCGCUGGGACGGUACUGACGCUGAGGUGCGAAAGCGUGGGGAGCGAACAGG
rnacentral:rRNA from 1 species